rnacentral:tRNA from 1 species
GUUUUAAUAAUUUAAUUAAAAUACUGAUCUUGUAAAUCAGAAAUAAGACUUUUUCUUUUAAAACU